AUGCCACCUUCCGUGCACGACACAGAAGGCCUACCGUUCAUGAAGCAUGGUUGUGUCUUCAGUGCGCACCGCCGGAUGAACGACAUGCUGGGACACGCUAUCCCUGAUUUAUGCCGCUUCAGCUUGGAUGAGUCUCCAUCCAGACGCAAAUGCGCUGGCCUUCAUGAUUCCAGGACCUGGAAUCAUACCAGCCGAUGGUACCAUAUAACUGGAAUUAACCGAUGCAAGUCGAAGAAGGAUUGGCCGGUGCUGCCGGCUGGCGUCAAGUUUGAUCCCACGGAUCAGGAGCUAUUCGAGCACCUUGAGGCCAAAGUGAGUGCUGACAGCGUGAGAUCUCACCCUCUCAUCGAUUUGUUCAUACCAACUAUCGACAGCGAGCACGGCAUAUGCUACACCCAUCCUGAGAAACUUCCAGUGAUGGUCAACGGCCGGCAGACAGGCAGCAAAAAGGUUCUGGUGCUGCACACAAACAAGAAAUUCGACCAGCAGAGGACCAACUGGGUGAUGCACCAGUACCACCUCGGGGACCUGGAGCAAGAGAAGGAGCGGGAGCUGGUCCUCUGCAAGAUUUUCUACUAG
rnacentral:rRNA from 1 species